AUGCAAAGCAAGAAUGUAAAAGUCAAUUACCUAUUACUUACCCGGAUUCAGAGCUCUCCAGGAGCAUUCGUAGAUUUGCCCCGUAGUGCGUCAGAUGCUGCCGCGUUCUACCGCGCCCAGGAGGGGAGCUCCACGAAGAAGGUGUUCUGGUCUCUGUAUGCUGAGGCCGGACAUCCGGUGCCCCUAAGCGACCAGUUGAAGCAGCUAGUCGAGCUCCACAAGGUCGCCGAACAGGCCAUGAGGGGCCUUAUAGAGCGGCUGUGGCCAUUGGAGGCCAUGCCUGGGAGCUACUUCGGCUUGGUGCAGCGGCUGGUGGAUGCCUGUCCGCGGCUUGAAGUUAUCAAGCACUCCGUCUGCAUUGAAGGGGUCCGUCGGGCCCUUGCCCGUGCUAAAGUGCACUGGGGCAAGCUGGAUGCGGAGAAGCUUGUGACGGACGGGCCGCCGAAGGGCCAUGAGCAUCGCACGCCCAAAAUGUAUUAUGAGGGCCUCCUGAAGGGUGCUCGCCGAAUAGCGGAUGAGUGCUCCAAGGAUGUAAUUUUUGAAUAG
rnacentral:rRNA from 1 species